UUAAAUUGAAGAGUUUGAUCAUGGCUCAGAUUGAACGCUGGCGGCAGGCCUAACACAUGCAAGUCGAACGGUAACAGGAAGCAGCUUGCUGCUUCGCUGACGAGUGGCGGACGGGUGAGUAAUGUCUGGGAAACUGCCUGAUGGAGGGGGAUAACUACUGGAAACGGUGGCUAAUACCGCAUAACGUCGCAAGACCAAAGAGGGGGACCUUCGGGCCUCUUGCCAUCAGAUGUGCCCAGAUGGGAUUAGCUAGUUGGUGAGGUAACGGCUCACCAAGGCGACGAUCCCUAGCUGGUCUGAGAGGAUGACCAGCCACACUGGAACUGAGACACGGUCCAGACUCCUACGGGAGGCAGCAGUGGGGAAUAUUGCACAAUGGGCGCAAGCCUGAUGCAGCCAUGCCGCGUGUAUGAAGAAGGCCUUCGGGUUGUAAAGUACUUUCAGCGGGGAGGAAGGUGUUGUGGUUAAUAACCGCAGCAAUUGACGUUACCCGCAGAAGAAGCACCGGCUAACUCCGUGCCAGCAGCCGCGGUAAUACGGAGGGUGCAAGCGUUAAUCGGAAUUACUGGGCGUAAAGCGCACGCAGGCGGUCUGUCAAGUCGGAUGUGAAAUCCCCGGGCUCAACCUGGGAACUGCAUUCGAAACUGGCAGGCUUGAGUCUUGUAGAGGGGGGUAGAAUUCCAGGUGUAGCGGUGAAAUGCGUAGAGAUCUGGAGGAAUACCGGUGGCGAAGGCGGCCCCCUGGACAAAGACUGACGCUCAGGUGCGAAAGCGUGGGGAGCAAACAGGAUUAGAUACCCUGGUAGUCCACGCCGUAAACGAUGUCUACUUGGAGGUUGUGCCCUUGAGGCGUGGCUUCCGGAGCUAACGCGUUAAGUAGACCGCCUGGGGAGUACGGCCGCAAGGUUAAAACUCAAAUGAAUUGACGGGGGCCCGCACAAGCGGUGGAGCAUGUGGUUUAAUUCGAUGCAACGCGAAGAACCUUACCUGGUCUUGACAUCCACAGAAGAAUCCAGAGAUGGAUUUGUGCCUUCGGGAACUGUGAGACAGGUGCUGCAUGGCUGUCGUCAGCUCGUGUUGUGAAAUGUUGGGUUAAGUCCCGCAACGAGCGCAACCCUUAUCCUUUGUUGCCAGCGGUCCGGCCGGGAACUCAAAGGAGACUGCCAGUGAUAAACUGGAGGAAGGUGGGGAUGACGUCAAGUCAUCAUGGCCCUUACGACCAGGGCUACACACGUGCUACAAUGGCGCAUACAAAGAGAAGCGACCUCGCGAGAGCAAGCGGACCUCAUAAAGUGCGUCGUAGUCCGGAUUGGAGUCUGCAACUCGACUCCAUGAAGUCGGAAUCGCUAGUAAUCGUGGAUCAGAAUGCCACGGUGAAUACGUUCCCGGGCCUUGUACACACCGCCCGUCACACCAUGGGAGUGGGUUGCAAAAGAAGUAGGUAGCUUAACCUUCGGGAGGGCGCUUACCACUUUGUGAUUCAUGACUGGGGUGAAGUCGUAACAAGGUAACCGUAGGGGAACCUGCGGUUGGAUCACCUCCUUACCUUAAAGAA
rnacentral:rRNA from 2 species